rnacentral:sRNA from 1 species
AUGGUGCAGUGAUAAAACAAUAGAUGUGGACACAAAAGACCUUUUUUCAGGGAUUUCGUAAGGCAUUAAUUAUACAUAAUUUAUUUCCAAUGACAGUUCUCGAAUAUAUACUGUGUCAUAUUUAGUCCUGUAGCUCUUUCCAUCCCUCUCCACUCUGCUGGCCUCCCUCUUUUCUAGGCUUGUCCUCCUCCAUCCUCUUGCCUUGGUCUUUAGGGGAUGUAGGGCUAGCCUACCAAUGAGCUUCACGAUCUCCCACCCUAACCUGACCUUUGAUCUUGGCCUAGCUUUUACACUCAAUGUAAUCAGGCUGUGACCUUGAGGAACUGAUAGAACAUCCUGCCCCUCCAUGCCACUUCAAUAAAUUGGGACUCGUUAUUCCUGAUUAGGAGUUUGCACUCGGACAGAGUCAAGCAUAGAGGCCUUUGCAGCUUCUCAGCAUAUGGUACACCUGAAGGAGCCGCCUGUGUCAGAGGGAAAAAGAAAGUCUGGCGUCAGCUGCUUGCAGCUCUGCCACACUCUUCUGUGGUGACACUCUGCCUCUCUACAGGCCCACGGCAAUGGGGCCAGCCACUAGGAUCAAAAUCACAAGGCCAGGUUCAGCCUCAGUUUCAGCCCCCACCUUCCUGGAACUUGCUCUGUGGGGGCUUCUAACAACAGGAUCUGCCUGGAAAGACUUGAGAUUGACACCCAGAACCACAGCCCUCACACCCUGUCCACCAUCACUGUCAGAAGGGGGAAGAGCUUGAGUGACAGAGUUGGAAGAGAACAGAGGAGGAUUUUUAGCUGUGGAGGGCAUGGCGGGGUUGUUGUGGAGGACUGUUCAGGCUGCAGGAUGAGCAGAGACUGCAGGAGCAGUAGACAACGGAUGCCCAAAAGCGCUGUCGUCACACAGAAUGAAGUUCACACCAUGGGGUGCCAGGCAACCUUGGGCUCUCUUAAGCUUGUAUCACUCACUGGGUUCUGUGAUCCCAGAGCGCAAAGAGAGCCUUGUGUCCCUGGAUAUCUAGGAACAAGAUCAACACGCCUGUAGAUGACGACACCACCUCACAACGUGGAAAGGCCGGAGACCCCUUCAAGUGUUUGCUAGAUGUGUUUUCCAUACGGGAAUGGGGAAGAGGACAAUACCGACAUUGUUGUUUACAAAACUAUUGGAAACCUUUAUUAUCCUUUCCUAAUUAUAAAAGUAAUAUGGAACUGAAUUACGACCCUGAAGGGACAGCAUACAGCAUAAAGGAUGAGACCACACAGUGAAGGGUGGGCUGUAGUAAUGUCCAAUCAUUUUUGAUAUAAGGUGAAGGGCAGGGGAGUUUCCACCAAUCAGGUUAGGAGGAGGUUCCUGGAUCUGGGAACAUGACCUUAGUUUGACCUUGCCAGUAAGCCAGAGAAAUUAUCCUUGUGUCUGAAGUGGGACAACUGUCUCCUUACAAGUUGUCCUGAGGAGUCUGGAUCCAGACAACUGUGUCCUUAUAACAGAAGCUGCUCAGCUCUUGAGAAGUCCCCAGCUCCCCUAGGGCCUGAGAUCUUGAAUUUCUCCCUGUGAUUACAUGGCGUCUGCAAAGGAAAUGGUAGUACUUCGAAUGUUUCUUUUGCUUGUUCCCAACAGUCCCGAGCCCAGCACGCAGGCAUGGUGGGACGCAUCCGCUCUCAGCAGCACUUGGCAACUGGAGGCAGGAGAACCAGGAGUUCAAUGUUAGCCUUGAUCGCAGAGUCAGCUUGAGGACAUCCUGAACCACAGGAGACCUUGUCUUAAACGAAACAAAGAUGAAGAAUGGGUCUCAAGAGCAAGAAGGUGUACACUUGUCUCCUCCAAGCCCUUGGUGCUGGGUCGACUGCUCCUCACGUGCUAUAGCAGGAAAAAAACAACAAGCAGCACUGAGGUGACCCCUACACUACUGUCAGAUGACCAAAGCUCCUGUGUCAUCACACUGGAGAGGAAGUGGUAGGUGUGGAAUGUAAGCCAGAAGACACCAGCUGAGUGCCGCCAGUAUGCCCAUCCCACGUACGUGCUUCUGCAGAGACAUUUAACUGGUUUGUCUAUGGCCUGUGGAUGAUCAGUCUGGUGGGACUGGAAAAAAGCAAGGAGGCCCCACCUGGCUAGCGGGCCAGAGUUCCUGUUCAGAGGUCCAUAGACCCCCAGAGCGGCCAGAGGCUCCCUACCUGCUACACUUUUGCUGAUGCAAGAUUUAAGAGCCACAAAAGUGACACAGCAGCACCUGGAAUGACUAGGGCAGCCAUUAGCUGUGGAGACUGUUCAGUUGUUACUGUUAGCCUUUUCUCAUUCUUUAGUAUCUACUUAUUUUAUUUGUUAUGAGUGUUUUGUAUGCAUGUGCAUGUGUGACCCGUGUGUGAGUGCCUGGUGGUCAGAAGAGGACAUCCAGUUUUCCCAAACUAGAGUUAGGAAUGGUUGUGAACCAUGCUGUGGGUGCUAGGAACUGAGCUCAGGUCCUCUGUGAGAGCGACAAGUGCUCUUAACCAGUGAGCCCACGUUUCAGCUAGUGGUCUUUGUAGAUCCCCUGGGCCGGAGUACAAGACAUUGGUGACUGUGUGCAUGUACUUUCUCUCAGUUUUUAAAAAAAG